AUUCAAUAAAAGAGCGCUUAAGGGUUGGACUUCAUCUGGCAGCACGGAAUCGCAUUUGUUCCGCCUGUGCUACCACGUGCUGCAGUGUGCUGCCGCAUGC